GAAAAGAAAAUAACAAUGAUUUCCCUAGUAACGGCGAGUGAAGAGGAAAGAGCUCAAAGUUGGAACCUGUUUGGCUUAGCUAAACCGGAUUGUAAACUGUAGAAGUGUUUUCCAGACACGCCUGGUAAAAAAGUCCUUUGGAACAGGGCAUCAUAGAGGGUGAGAAUCCCGUCAUUGGCCAGAGCUGUUGUCUUUUGUGAUACAUUUUCAAAGAGUCAGGUUGUUUGGGAAUGCAGCCUAAAUUGGGUGGUAAAUCUCACCUAAAGCUAAAUAUUUGCGAGAGACCGAUAGCGAACAAGUACCGUGAGGGAAAGAUGAAAAGAACUUUGAAAAGAGAGUUAAACAGUAUGUGAAAUUGUUAAAAGGGAACCGUUUGGAGCCAGACUGGCUUGAUCGUAAUCACUCUAGGCUUUGGCCUGGAUGCACUUGCGGUCUAUGCCGGCCAACGACAGUUUUGUUUGAGGGAAAAAAUUACAUUGAAUGUGGCCCCUCGGGGUGUUAUAGCUUUGUAAAAAAUACCUUGGACGGGACUGAGGAACGCAGUGAAUGCCUUUAGGCGAGAUUGCUGGGUGCUUGCGCUGAUACAUGCUAGAAUUUCUGCUUCGGGUGGUGCUAGUGUGUAAAGGAGUAACCCGCUUAGUAUAUUUUUUAUUCGCUUAGGUUGUUGGCUUAAUGACUCUAAAUGACCCGUCU
rnacentral:rRNA from 1 species